rnacentral:tRNA from 1 species
GCAGGUGUAGUUUAAUGGUAAAACCGUUGCUUCCCAAGCAACUGUUGGGGGUUCGAUUCCCCUCGCUUGCUCCA